rnacentral:tRNA from 1 species
CCGCCACUAGCUCAGCAGCCUUCUAAGCUGUUGGUGCGAGGUUCAAAUCCCCGGUGGCGGACCA